rnacentral:rRNA from 1 species
UGGCAGUGCGUCUUAAGCAUGCAAGUCAAACGGAAUGUAGUAAUACAUUUAGUGGCGAACGGGUGAGUAACGCGUGGAUAAUCUACCUAUGAGAUGGGGAUAACUAUUAGAAAUAGUAGCUAAUACCGAAUAAGGUCAAUUAAUUUGUUAAUUGAUGAAAGGAAGCCUUUAAAGCUUCGCUUGUAGAUGAGUCUGCGUCUUAUUAGUUAGUUGGUAGGGUAAAUGCCUACCAAGACGAUGAUAAGUAACCGGCCUGAGAGGGUGAACGGUCACACUGGAACUGAGAUACGGUCCAGACUCCUACGGGAGGCAGCAGCUAAGAAUCUUCCGCAAUGGG